CUUCAUUCAAAUCCUAAUGCCGAGAUUGACCCUGUAGGCUAUUAGUUGCCUUCAGCUACCAUUCUUCCUGUUUUAAAAGCAAGGCCGAUAGGAACAUUUGAAAAAAGGACUCUUCAGACCUGGAAAAUUUUGUCAUGAGAAGGUAACAGCAACCUUCCCUCCAGUUAAAAUAGAGGAAACUGGCUGGAGAGAGCUCAGAUACAGGGCUGAAAACAAAGACAUCCAAACCUUGAGCCAUUUAGGAGAGGAAGAAGCCAAAAUCUAUGCCAGAGGUUUGACUGCUGGGUUUACUCAUGGCUUCAGGUCAGUUUCGCGGGGCUUGGUCUGUUGGGAGGAUUUUCUGAGAAGCAUCUGAAGAGCUGAUAGCUGGAUAGCUUCACCACUGACCCCCCCGACCCGAGUGAGGUUUGGCACUCACAGUAUUCCUGGAAUGACACAGGGGCUCCGGCUGGAGUCAGGCCAGGACAUUAGAUGAAACUGCUUUUGUGGCACUUCUGCUUUUGAUGACUAGAGGACAGAUUUCCCGCUGUAACUCUCUGCAGCAUUUGACUCU